AUUGAACGCUGGCGGCAGGCCUAACACAUGCCAGUCGAGCGGAUGAAGGGAGCUUGCUCCUGGAUUCAGCGGCGGACGGGUGAGUAAUGCCUAGGAAUCUGCCUGGUAGUGGGGGAUAACGUCCGGAAACGGGCGCUAAUACCGCAUACGUCCUGAGGGAGAAAGUGGGGGAUCUUCGGACCUCACGCUAUCAGAUGAGCCUAGGUCGGAUUAGCUAGUUGGUGGGGUAAAGGCCUACCAAGGCGACGAUCCGUAACUGGUCUGAGAGGAUGAUCAGUCACACUGGAACUAAGACACGGUCCAGACUCCUACGGGAGGCAGCAGUGGGGAAUAUUGGACAAUGGGCGAAAGCCUGAUCCAGCCAUGCCGCGUGUGUGAAGAAGGUCUUCGGAUUGUAAAGCACUUUAAGUUGGGAGGAAGGGCAGUAAGUUAAUACCUUGCUGUUUUGACGUUACCAACAGAAUAAGCACCGGCUAACUUCGUG
rnacentral:rRNA from 1 species